rfam:Tinamus guttatus contig52242, whole genome shotgun sequence.
CUAAUGGCUUUUUUUAAAGCCACGUGAUGUAGAAUUGGAAAAAAAA